GACGAACGCUGGCGGCGUGCUUAACACAUGCAAGUCGAACGGUGAAAGCGGAGCUUGCUCCGCUGGAUCAGUGGCGAACGGGUGAGUAACACGUGGGCAACCUGCCCCACACUUCGGGAUAACUCCGGGAAACCGGGGCUAAUACCGGAUAUGACCUCCUUGGGCAUCCUUGGAGGUGGAAAGUUUUUCGGUGAGGGAUGGGCCCGCGGCCUAUCAGCCUGUUGGUGAGGUAGUGGCUCACCAAGGCGACGACGGGUAGCCGGCCUGAGAGGGCGACCGGCCACACUGGGACUGAGACACGGCCCAGACUCCUACGGGAGGCAGCAGUGGGGAAUAUUGCGCAAUGGGCGAAAGCCUGACGCAGCAACGCCGCGUGCGGGAUGACGGCCUUCGGGUUGUAAACCGCUUUCAGCAGGGAAGAAGCCGCAAGGUGACGGUACCUGCAGAAGAAGCACCGGCUAACUACGUGCCAGCCGCCGCAGUAA
rnacentral:rRNA from 1 species